GAUUCAGAAUGGAUGUUGCAAGACGGGCUCACCUCUGGGCUUCCACGGGAACCCCA
rnacentral:sRNA from 1 species